AUCAAUGUAGCUCAUCCAGGUAGAGCACUCGACCAAUAAUCGGGGUGUAGCAGGUUCGAGUCCUGCCAUUGUCA
rfam:Roseovarius indicus strain B108 contig12, whole genome shotgun sequence.